CCUACGGGAGGCAGCAGUGAGGAAUAUUGGUCAAUGGUCGGGAGACUGAACCAGCCAAGCCGCGUGAGGGAGGAAGGUACAGAGUAUCGUAAACCCCUUUUGUCAGGGAACAAAGACUGGGACGCGUCCCCGGAUGAGUGUACCUGAAGAAAAAGCAUCGGCUAACUCCGUGCCAGCAGCCGCGGUAAUACGGAGGAUGCGAGCGUUAUCCGGAUUUAUUGGGUUUAAAGGGUGCGCAGGCGGUCUGUUAAGUCAGCGGUCAAAGCCCGGGGCUCAACCCCGGCCCGCCGUUGAAACUGGCAGUCUCGAGUUGGAGAGAAGUAUGCGGAAUGCGCGGUGUAGCGGUGAAAGGCAUAGAUAUCGCGCAGAACUCCGAUUGCGAAGGCAGCAUGCCGGCUCCACACUGACGCUGAGGCACGAAAGCGUGGGUAUCGAACAGGAUUAGAUACCCCUGUAGUC
rnacentral:rRNA from 1 species